rnacentral:piRNA from 1 species
UACUGCCAAGUUCAUUCUACAGGAUGG